UACGGAGGGUGCGAGCGUUGUCCGGAAUCACUGGGCGUAAAGGGCGCGUAGGCGGCAUGCCAAGCGUGUGGUGAAAGCCCGGGGCUCAACCCCGGGUCGGCCGUGCGGACUGGCGUGCUCGAGCACUGUAGGGGCGGGUGGAAUUCCGGGUGUAGCGGUGGAAGUGCGUAGAGAUCCGGAAGAACACCGGUGGCGAAGGCGGCCCGCUGGGCAGGAAGACACCGCAAGGUGUCGGCUGACGCUGAGGCGCGACAGCGUGGGAGCAACAGG
rnacentral:rRNA from 1 species